rnacentral:rRNA from 1 species
UACGUAGGGUGCAAGCGUGUCCGGAAUUAUUGGGCGUAAAGAGCUCGUAGGCGGUUUGUUGCGUCGGCUGUGAAAUCCCGAGGCUCAACCUCGGGUCUGCAGUCGAUACGAGCAAACUAGAGUGUUGCAGGGGAGACUGGAAUUCCUGGUGUAGCGGUGAAAUGCGCAGAUAUCAAGAGGGAACACCGGUGGGCGAAAGGC